rnacentral:rRNA from 1 species
UACGGGGGGGGCAAGCGUUGUUCGGAAUUACUGGGCGUAAAGGGCUCGUAGGCGGCCAACUAAGUCGGACGUGAAAUCCCCAGGCUCAACCUGGGAACUGCGUCUGAUACUGGAUGGCUUGAAUCCGGGAGAGGGAUGCAGAAUUCCAGGUGUAGCGGUGAAAUGCGCAGAUAUCAGGAGGAACACCAAUGGCGAAGGCAGCACUCUGGGACGUGACUGACGCUGAGACGCGAAAGCGUGGGGAGCAAACAGG